UAAAGAGAUAAGUCUGCGCCUUCCGUGUGCGUUUGUUGUUUUUUUCCCCCCUUUCUAUCUAGCCUACCUACUUUCACUUUACACUGACACUGACACUGAAGUUCCUGCCAAUUGGCCAUCCUGAUGCAGCUCUUCUACCAGCUUGUCAUUAUUUCGGGGUCCUCUUAGGUAAAGACCCAGCGCUGAGCAGCACAUCUGGAAUCAAUACAGCCGAACUGGAUUCUGGAGUCAGAGAGGUCGAGUUCAAGCUGACCAGGUCACAUCGCUCAGAGUCGGCUACGCCAGCACGGAUGGUUGCUAUGGUGAGGGUUAUGGUGGAAGAGAUAUAGAGAUUGAUGGGGAAUUUUUUGCUUGUUAAAGUAAAUUUGUUUUUUGGUAUUUACACGUUCAUAUACUCAAUAAUAAUUCAGAUAUAAUUAUGAACUAUUGGAUUGGUCCAUCAGUAUGUGAACAGAAACACAAGCGCGUCACUGGAUAGACAAAUAGAGCUAGAGCCAGAAAAACACUCCAAUCGGUGAAGUUUGGUGCUCAUUAAUAUUGUGCAAAACUCUUCCUGUUUCUAACUUCCCUCGAUUAUUGCCCUUGACUUAUUAGAGGUCAUGAAAUUGUUUUUGAACCAACUAUCUUCAUAGUCUAUCAAUUGAGCUUUUUUUUUCGGUUACAUCUGAAAUAUUUUUCUUGCCAGUUAUCAGCAAAAACACAUCUAAUUAAUUAUAAAGUAAAUUAAAUGCAAUGUAUUCAGAUAUUCAGUGGACAAUUCAAAGAAUUACAUUUUAGUAAGUCCGCAGCUUAAUUUGAAGAUUUAUUUUCAGUGCAUGGUAAUUAUUGACCUUCAGAUUCAUAUUAUUAACCCUUAGUGUUUCCACAAGGUGAGUGUGUUAUUGAGCAGAUGAAGGACAUUCUUUUAUUCCACUGGCAGCUGGAGAACAAUUAUCCUUCAGAUAGAGACUGGAGGGCAAGGACUGUGUGUAACCCUCCAUUAUUCAUCUUAAUCAGAGACUUAAUCAUCAGCAUCCAUCAGCACUUUACAUUAAAUCUGAGAUUAAUCUGAUCUUUAAAAAUAUAUUGGACCUAAUGAGGGUUAUGCUGGGGGGGUCAACAUAUUGAUGUAUAUCCUAUAGUUUCAGACAACAGUUGCAAAUGCACAUAUAUAAUUAAACCAAUUCCCAUCAUAUCUGUAUGGACUAUAUUUCAUUAGAGAAAUUAUGUAGCUUUUCUUUUUGGACUAUAUUGAACCCUUGAUGACAGAGCACCUUUAUUUGACACUGGAAGCAAUCACGAUCAUUGGAUAGUUGAGUGUUAAACAUUAAAUGCAAUCAAGCAACAUAGUGAACUAUAUGGAAAAGAUCCCUUUCUAAUUAGCCAAAUAGUCUCAUAUGUAGAAGCUUCACUUCAAAUCAUUGUAUUUUUUAUUUGGUUUAUUCAUAGCCAUGGCCCUCAAU